GACGAACGCUGGCGGCGUGCUUAACACAUGCAAGUCGAACGGAAAGGCCCUGCUUUUGUGGGGUGCUCGAGUGGCGAACGGGUGAGUAACACGUGAGUAACCUUCCCUUUACUUUGUGAUAACUUCAGGAAACUGGUGCUAAUACCUGAUAGGUGCUCCUGCUGCAUGGUGGGGGUUGGACAGUUUCGGCGGUUGUGGAUGUACUCGCGGCUUAUCAGCUUGUUGGUGGGGUAGUGGCUUACCAAGGCUUUGACGGGUAGCCGGCCUGAGAGGGUGACCGGCGACAUUGGGACUGAGAGACGGGCCAGACUCCUACGGGAGGCAGAAGUGGGGAAUAUUGCACAAUGGGCGGAAGCCUGAUGCAGAAACGCCGCGUGCGGGAUGGCGGCCUACGGGUGGUAAACCGCUUUCGCCUGUGACGAAGCGUGAGUGACGGUAAUGGGUAAAGAAGCACCGGCUAACUACGUG
rnacentral:rRNA from 1 species